rnacentral:rRNA from 1 species
ACUAUUGUCACGGGUUACCGCGGCUGCUGGCACGGAGUUAGCCGGUGCUUCUUCUGCGAGUAACGUCACAGAUGUAAGGUAUUAACUUACACCCUUUCCUCCUCGCUGAAAGUGCUUUACAACCCGAAGGCCUUCUUCACACACGCGGCAUGGCUGCAUCAGGGUUUCCCCCAUUGUGCAAUAUUCCCCACUGCUGCCUCCCGUAGGAGUCUGGGCCGUGUCUCAGUCCCAGUGUGGCUGAUCAUCCUCUCAGACCAGCUAGGGAUCGUCGCCUAGGUGAGCCUUUACCUCACCUACUAGCUAAUCCCACCUGGGCUUAUCCAUCAGCGCAAGGCCCGAAGGUCCCCCUGCUUUCCCCCGGUAGGGCGUAUGCGGUAUUAGCAGUCGUUUCCAACUGUUA